UACGUAGGGGGCUAGCGUUGUCCGGAAUCAUUGGGCGUAAAGAGCGUGUAGGCGGCUCGGUAAGUCCGCUCUGAAAACCCGGGGCUCAACCCCGGGCCUGCAGUCGAUACGGGCAGACUAGAGUGUGGUAGGGGAGACUGGAAUUCCUGGUGUAGCGGUGGAACGCGCAGAUAUCAGGAGGAACACCGGUGGCGAAGGCGGGUCUCUGGGCCAUAACUGACGCUGAGGAGCGAAAGCGUGGGGAGCGAACAGG
rnacentral:rRNA from 1 species